UCCGUAGGUGAACCUGCGGAAGGAUCAUUAUUGAACUUUGAAAUCCUUGUGGCUCACGUUGGUCUGUAGCUGGCCCCUUCGGAGGUAUGUGCUCGCCAGCGUUUGCUGCAACUUUCUUCGUCCACCUGUGCACUUUUUGUAGACUUGGAGUAUCUCUCGACUUCGAAGCCGCAAGGCUCAGAAGCUCGGAAUUUGGAGGGUUUGCGGCUUCUGGUCGCUCCCUCUGUCUCUCCAAGUCUAUGUCAUUAUAAACUCUAUUGUAUGUCUUGAAUGUCUUUGUUGUAUUGGACGCAAGUCCUAUAAAACUUUAUACAACUUUCAACAACGGAUCUCUUGGCUCUCGCAUCGAUGAAGAACGCAGCGAAAUGCGAUAACUAAUGUGAAUUGCAGAAUUCAGUGAAUCAUCGAGUCUUUGAACGCACCUUGCGCCCUUUGGUAUUCCGAAGGGCAUGCCUGUUUGAGUGUCAUUAACUUCUCAACCUCCCUCACUUUGUUGUGAGCUGGCGGAUUGGAUCGUGGGGGCUUGCUGGAGCACUUGUGGCCUCAGCUCCUCUGAAAUGCAUUAGCGGAAUCCUCUUUGAACUUGGAGGCUUGCUGCAGCUGUGAUAAUAUCUACGGCCGUGGCUUGAAGCGUUUGCUAGGGUUUUGAAGGGAUGCCUCUGGCGCCCUUUGCUUUCUCUUCGCAAGGAGAGAUAACUAUCCCUAGUGUCUGCGUACCUUUAGUUCGAGUUGGCUAGUUCAGCUUCUAACCGUCUUGUAACGAGACAACUAUUGACCAUUUGACCUCAAAUCAGUAGGACUACCCGCUGAACUUAAGCAUAUCAAUAAGCGGAGGA
rnacentral:rRNA from 1 species